rnacentral:rRNA from 1 species
CCUACGGGAGGCAGCAGUGGGGAAUAUUGCACAAUGGGGGAAACCCUGAUGCAGCGAAGCCGCGUGAGUGAAGAAGUAUUUCGGUAUGUAAAGCCCUAUUAGCAGGGAAGAAAAUGACGGUACCUGAUUAAGAAGCCACGGCUAACUACGUGCCAGCAGCCGCGGAAAUACGUAGGGGGCAAGCGUUAUCAGGAUUUACUGGGUGUAAAGGGAGCGUAGACGGCAGCACAAGUCUGGAGUGAAAUGCCGGGGCUUAACCCCGGAACUGCUUUGGAAACUGUGCAGCUAGAGUGCAGGAGAGGUAAGUGGAAUGCGUGGUGUAGCGGUGAAAUGCAUAGAUAUUAGGAAGAACACCAGUGGCGAAGGCGGCUUACUGGACUGUAACUGACGUUGAGGCUCGAAAGCGUGGGGAUCAAACAGGAUUAGAUACCCUUGUAGUC